AUCUGGACAGGGAGGGGGGGUGAUGCUCCCAGAAACUGCCCUUGGGGAUUAAGACAGGCUGUGAAACGAGGUGCUCUGCUCUUUAGCGAAGGAAGGAGUCAGAGACCAAACUGCCUUUCAGGCAGAGCAAAUCAAUGGUUGUCAUGAACUUGGCCCCAGUUUUUGGACCCCUUAUGUACCCCUUAUCAGACUGUUAGGUUAACACCUAAAUUUUUUAGUCAUAUGCUUAAUGGAUAUUUCUUAAAAGAUAGUUAGUAGAGUACUGUAAAGGGUAACACUUUAAAAUAAUUUAUAUCACUCCAAGAGAGUUUAGAUCCCAUACCAAUUUGAUAAACACCAACAACCAUUCAAAGAAUACACAAACAAGUUCUUUAAAGACAAAUUUUACUUCCUUUUCCUCCCUGGACUCUUAUUUUAAUUACUCUUCCCCCACAAAAUUUUAUUCAACCAUAAUGUUUGAUUUAAAGUGUUUUGUUCAUCAUACUUCCAUGCUUCUCUGCAACAUAAAUAAAAAUACAAAAUAAAAGUUAAUUUCCUGUUACCAUAAGGCCCUAGGUGUUAAAAUACUUUUCUUCUGGGAAAAUUGAUUAAGAUAAUCUAAAUAUACUUGUAAAUUUUUAUGAAUCAUUAUUAAACAUAAAAUUAAAAAUUUUAUUUAAAAUGCCUACCUGUAUGAGAUAGAUGGGGUGUUAUUUCUUCCAAUUAGUUCACGUAUGCAUGGGUGAAUAUUACCGAGGAAAAGGUAGGGUUCCGCACCAAACCUGUUCCUGUGUUUGGAGUUGACAGAUACAAAAACUGAGAAAACUGGUUUACAUAAAUGAGAAAUGGGACUAGAAACUUUCUUGUUAUAGCAACAUCAACAUCGAUAUUUCAAACUGUCUGAUGGUCGUCCGGAGAGUGGUAACACCUGAGGCAAUGCACCGUAGUAAGACCUGAGAAGGGCCAAAGGGGUGCAUUUCUUUUGCAUCGGAGGUUGAGUUCCCUGGAAGCAGAUGCUGAGACAGAAGUGGGGAGAGGGUUGUUUUCUCAGGAUCCAUACAUGUGCAAAGGAGGAAGAGGAAACAAGCCUGGAUGAGAGGAGAUUGGUGAAGGCUCCCCAGGAGGCAGCUUUGAAGAGAAUGCUGCCUGUCAGAGCUGUCUAGGAGACAGGUACCCCACACACCCUGUCGCCAGAUGUGGGCCAGCCUGGGAAGGCUGUGGCUGCAUUCAGGAUGGCCCCCUGCAGCGGAGGUCAGCCCUGAAAGGGCCACAGAGAGGAGUAGAUUCCUUUUUCUAGGUCUGCCACCAGCAUAUACCUCAAACUUGGUGGCUUCAAGUCAAAGAAAUGUAUUCUCUCAUAGUUCUGAAGGCCAGAAGUCCGAAAUCAAGCUGUCAGCAGAGGUGGGUCCUUCUGGAAGCUCUGGGGAGAAUUGUUCCAUGCCUGUCUCGCAGCUCCUGCUGGCUCCCAGCACCCCUUGGUGCCUCUCGGCUUGUAGACCCAUCCCUCUGCUCUCUGCCUCUGUCUUGACAUGGCCUCCCCCUCUGUAUCUAUGUGGCUGUUUUCUGCUUUUCAGCUUCUCAUGAGGACGUCUGUCAUUGGAUGGACGAUCUACUGUAAUCCAGGAAAUCAUAAUCUACAAAGACCUUUAUUCCAUAUAAGGUAACAUUCUGAGGUUUUAUUCAAAGUACGUUUUGGGGGUCAUCUUUCAAGUCGCCAUGGGCAGCAAGUGCUUUGUGGAAAGUAUAGCUGGACAGCAUUAUUCCCACAUCUAGUCAGUUUGUGAGGUGGGAGAAGGGUGGUUGUAAAGGGGACCUGAGAGGGAGAGGACAAAUGUGAGGGCUCGGAAGGCAAGCCGGUUGCCAAGCAGAUCAGCCUUAGAAAUGAGAACAUACGGGAAGUUGAGUGUCUGGAAAUGUGAUAUUCCUUGGAAAACUUUUGCGUAUCCCCAGGGUGACAAGUAACCCAGUUUGAGGAUUUAGUUCAAGCUGAUUAUUCCCUCGAAGAAAUACAGGCCUCAGGUGGCCCGAUCUCCAAUUAUUUAAGAGAAAGAAAAAGUCACACUUAAGUGAUAUCUCCUUCUGUUUAAAUGUUGUCAACCAAUUCAAAAGAAAUAAAUUGCGCAGGCCCAAGAAAAAUGUUUGUGGGCUGAAUAUAAUCACUGAGGUAGUCUGUGCUCUGUGUUUCUGUCCCUCCUACCACAGCAAGUAAAAAAAAUACUAGCACGUCUUCUUUUGAUGGCCCCAAAUUUAUCUAUCACCCAGAGAGCUGUAUCAGUCAGGGUUCCCCAGAGAAACGAAACCAAUGAGAUAAAUGUGUACUUACAUGUGUGUAUACUAAGAGAUUUAUUUUAAGAGAUCAGCUUAUACAAUUGUGGGGGCUAGCAAGUCUGAAGUCCAUAGGGCAGUCUGGAAAGAUCAAGACUCAGGCAGGAGUUCAAGUUGCAGUCUUGGGACAGAACUUUUGCUUCUCCAGGAAACCACUGGUUUUGCUCUUAAGAGCUUCCAGUCGGUUGGACAAGGCCUGUCCACAGGACUAAGCAUAAUCUCCUUCACUUCAAGUCACCUGAGUGUGGAUGUCAACCACAUCUACCAAACACUCUUCACACUAGAAUUUGUGGUUAGUUAAAUAACUGGAUACUAGAGGCUUUCCAAGUUUGCACAUAGAAGUAAGCAUAGCUGGAGCCAUUGAUUACCAUGUUAACUGAAGAAACUGAAAAAGGGGAGGAAUCAUUCAGGCUACGGCCCCACAGCUCCUCAUGAUAUAGAGGAGGAAGAUGGGACCCAGGAAGGUGACGUGACUUCUCGAAGAGCACACAGCUGGCUGGGGAAAGGACAGCUCAAAGCAGUGUUCUGGCCUUCCAGGGCGAUACCCUUUCCAUGAUCUUACCCUCACACGACUCAAUGUUUCAAGACCAAAACUGUGGGAUUGAAGAGCAUAGAAAGCCCCUUAGGGGUUAUAUGGGCCAAACCUUUCAUUUUAUAAUGAGAUCCAGAGGUAUGAAGCUGUAAGAAUUUUGAUUCCUAGCGAACGGCAUUUCCCCCGAUACUACAUAGCCUUUCAUACAAGGCAAAGUUGACGGCACUCAAAGUAAACUCAUCUCAUUAAUUUUUCUGUUUCAGAACGUCGUUUCUAAUAGGAACGAUGUUUUGGAACUAGUUUUCCUACCACUGACUUCUCAUGAGUGUUUAAUGGUCAACAAAACAAAACAAUCAAAAUGGCACCUGUCCAAAUAAUUGAAAGUUGAAUUUGCUGAAUGCCAACCAAUAUUUUUCCUGAAAUUUUUGUGGAUAUGCGCUAGUUAUAAUUCUAGAACAGCCACAUCGAGAAUUCAGCAGCUCACUUAUGGACAAACCUUUCUGCUACAUUACUCACUCUCCCAGAAAACUAUAAGAAUGUCUCCCUUAAUUAGCUCAUAACAAAGUGAAUUCCAACUCUGAUCAAUUUAUGUCACAUUAUAACAAUUGCUUUGGCUCAAUCAGAUAUCGUAAGUCACACUUCUGAAUCACCUUUGAAGGCAAUCAGGAUAUCCCCCCCAGCGUGUGCCCCCCAGUAUGCCACUUUGGAAUGAGGAUUAUUUUGAGCUGAAGGCACUUGAGACUUGACAAACUCAAGGGGAGGUCUCUGUAUUCCAUGGCUCUGCCUAAGAACAGAGCAUAAAGUUUCCUUCGUGAUGACACAGAGAUGGGUCUGCUUAAAUAACCCUUGUCUGCCAUUAGUGUCUCUCACCAAUUUACCUUCCCCCUACUUACCUCCCCUAGAAACUGAAACCCCUCUUUCUUAAAACCACAAAAAUCUCUUCUGCCUACCUGCCUCUUCCCCACUCCUAAUUUAAAAAAAAAAAAAAAAAAAAGGAAGAAAGGAAAAUGAAUAUAAUUUUAUAUGGAGCUCACUGUCUCUCUAGGCAGCAAGAGGUAGAAUGAAGUCUUGUGGGUCCGCACGUUCUCUGAAACAACACUGAAGGAAAAAUAAUGUACCAAAUUCUAUUUAUUUUCACAGCCAAUUCUCUUCCCACAGAAUCGAGGUCUAGAAUCCUGAUAUCAAAUUUAACAAUACCAAAUUCUUUAUUUUCCAGGAUAAAGAGGUUUGGGAAAUGGCCAUUGGAAUUUUCCAGUUCAGUUAGCCACAGUGAGGAGCGUACUUUGUUACACAAUCGCGCUGAAGUUUAGUAAUGAGCAUCACCAUGGAAAAUUAAUAAAUUUUCCCAUUUAUAGCCCAGCCCACUCAAGUAAUUGUCAAUUAAAGCUACAAUCAAUACCGAGGUAAUAGCUCAUGAACAAGGAUAGUUGGGUACUUACUUCAUUAAUGUCGCAAAUCGAUGUCGACCAUUUGGGAGUAAGUGCAAAGAAAUGAGCUCAUACACUGGAGGUAAUCAUAUUUGGAGAAUUUGCUGGCUAGAACUGGACUUGGGGAUCAGAAUCAGCAAAUAGGCAAAUGUCAAGCAAUGGCCCAAUCUGAUUAGUAAAGUGUUCUGGUUCCUAGAUGGUUCUUCGAUGCUGAAAUCUUGUGAAAGGAUCUGAGUCGCAUUUCUGAUACCUAGAGCGUUGAUCGGUUUCCUGUUCACCUUGAGUCCAUGACAGAUUAUCCAUUUCCUUCUUCUGUUACUAAAAAAUGACUAUUAAAAUAUAUCUUCCAUAUUCCUUUGUAGCACCAGGCAACCCUCCCUGAGCUAGGACUGUUUAUUCAACAGGUGGACCGUUAAGAAGCUCAUGUCUCUAGCAUAAUCUCUUUAGGGUCUGCAUCUGUUGGCACAGUGUCUUUGCCCUACCCGCACCCUGCAGCUCCUCCUUCCCUCUCACUACAAUAGCACUUAAAACAAAUACAUACAUAAUAGGAAGUUAGAAUGUAUUCCUAAUCCCAAAACAAUUAUUAAAUUAUAUGCCCAAUGGAAGAAGCCUGAUCACAUGCAGAGUAUCCCAAACUAUGUAUGGUUGUUGACUUUCCAAUCUAAGCGAACACAGUACAAAUCUAGCGCAAUAAUUGUACUGAUAAAUUCCACCACCUCCUCAUUGUCAUCCAAAGGAUUUAUUUUCUUGACCUCAUUGCCUGAGAAUUUAUGGGUGUCUUUCUUGCCUCCUAUUCAUCACCAGAAUGUGCAGCCUGUGGUGUCGAUGGUUCAGAUGUGAGCAUCUCACAAAACCCUCGUAACUCUGUGUGAAGAAGAGAGACAUGGUGACAGGGCUGGGGCACAGGGGCAGGAGGGGAUUUUCAUGCCAACCUUGUAGACUGGAGGCUCGACAACGUUCCACCUUCCACAACCCUUGCUGGCUUCUGAGGCAUUUCAUGAAGCUCCUGUGUUUCAGCCACUUCCACUUGGGACUCGUGGCAAAGCAGAUACAUGGACCAAGUGGAAAUCGUAGGUUAAGACUAUGGGAAGCAGCUGCCCUCGGAGCCCUCAAUGUGGGAGCAUCUCUUUAGUAGAAAAAUGGAGAAGAGGGCAGGAACAGGUUGGGAAUGAGUGCUUAUUGGGCUCCUAUUCCUAGUGUCAGACACAGAGCCUGAUCCCCCAGGAACAUCAUCUCAUGGAAACAGCUCACAGCAAGGAAGUAGGAGACAAGAUUUAGAACCCAUCUCGUGUGGCCUUGGAGAAGUCAUUUAACCUUCACCGAGCCUCCAUUUUCCCAUCUGCAAGCGUUAUCAGGAUCCAGCAAGGCAUUCUCCCCCAGGAAGGAGCGAUUGGGAGGCUGCACUUGACACCACAGCCGGGGAGGUGUCUGCCCUCGCUAAUUCCAGGGCAGCAGUAGACGGGGCCACAAACACACAGCCAGAGCAAACCAUUCCUUAACCCGGCACCUCGUAUGUCUGCCGUCAGUCAGGGGCACGUUUUUAUGGCCCAGGAAAUGGGGGGCCCCCAUGGAGUCGCCAGCAGGCCCUGGACGACCCCACCGCAAGCUACACACAUUUCUGGGAGAGUGUCUUCCAGGAGAUGGUUUCUUCAGAGAGUUGAAAUAUGAGGUGUUUACUCUUGCACUUGAAGAAGAGUCGCCCCUCAUGACCAAUCCCUCCUCUCUGGAGGCUUCCCUCCCCCUCGUUUUGGUCUGGGGGGGCAGAACUUGCUGCACAAAGGGUGUAAAGGGACGGUGUCCCCUGCAUUCUGAGUGUUUCGUCUCCAGAGGUGUGUAGGAUGCAGGCACACGCCUGCCUGCGCCAAACUCUGACACUAUGGGGGCCCGGCCAGCUUCACCUUCCAUUGCUCCCCAGCCUCCCCCAGCCCCUCUGCUGUCCUACAUGGUUGUCGCCACUAACUGGCAGCUCAGAAUUCCUCCCUGAGGCUCCUGGAUGGGAUUUUGUUCAGGUAUGCCUCCGUCACGCUCCCUGCAGGUGUUUCAAGAAACAGCUCUUUGAAACUCAGGACUGUGUUGUCUUAGGGGCAUUGUUAUGUACUAUCUCACAGAGAAUCUCUUUAUGAAGACUCAUAGAAAAAAUUUCCUUGACUCAGUGCUAGAAAGAGCUGGGCCUUUCCUGAGCCCCUGGCUUCUUGUUAUUGUCCUUUAGUUUGUUUCUGUGAAUCUGGCAGCUGAACUUUGCGCUCUCUUCACUGGCUGCUGGAAGUAGUUCCAUUCAAAACCACUCAUGCGGGGUUUUAAGCAUUCCCUUUAACCCUAAUUUUAUCUCGCUUCCCUUACCUUUGCAUUUUCUUCUUCUGAUUGCCUCAUUUUUUUUCACUUUUUGAGAGAAGUUUUAUUCAUUUGUUUUAGAGAGAGUGAGAGAGAGGGAGAGCACGAGGUGUGGGGAAGGGUCAGAGGGAGAAGCAGACUCCCUGCUGACCAGGGAGCCUGAUGUGGGACUUGAUCCCAGGACCCUGGAAUAUUAACCCGAGCUGAAGACAGACGCUUAACAACGGAGGCACCCAGCCGCCCCUUUUUUUCUUGUUUUACUAAUACAUGUAGUUCUAUGCGAAUUUCAGAAGCAGUUUUUGAGUUAGAUGAAAUAGAAAUACCUAAAAAGCAGACCAUCAAUUCUAACAUUUGUGGAGCACCUACUAGAGGCCAGGUACUGUGCUGGGUCCUGAGGUACGUAGAUAAAAAUCCCGGGGAGUCCCAGGCCUGGGUUUGGUGCAGGUCCCCAUGUACCCUGGGGCCUGGACAUUGCCACCAGGCAAACCUAGGGAUAUGGGAGCCAGAACUGCACCAAGGAAGGCCCCCUCCUCUGCUUCUGUGUUUAUAGGCCUUGUUUACUGACCAUAGUGAGACUGUUGGUUUUCUUUUUUCUUUUUUUAAAAGAUUUUAUUUAUUUAUUUAUUUAUUUGACGGAAAGAGAGAAAAUAAAAGCACGGGCAUGGGAGAGGGCAAAGCAUGCUUGCCGCCGAGCAGGAAGCCUCAUGCGGGGCUUGAUCCCAGGACCGUGGGACCGCGACCUGAGCGGAAGGCAGAUACUUAAGGACUGAGCCACCCAGGUGCCUGGGAAUUGGUUUCCUGCAUCCUGGCUAUUUGUAUCUGUCUUUUCUCUAGAACACUAAAUCUCCAGCGCGGUUGGUACCCAACAAUGCCAGGCAAGGGAAGGAUUUGAAGUUAUAUUCAUUGACCAGACAAAUGGAUGCAGGAAGGCAGGUUUCCUGCUUAAACCCGCCAGUUUGUUUUGUUUAAGAUUUUUUAAUUUAUUUAUUUGACAGACAGAGAUCACAAGUAGGCACAGAGGCAAAGGCAGAGAGAGAGAGAGAGAGAGGAGGAAGCAGGCUCCCUGAUGAGCAGAGAGCCCAAGGUGGGGCUCGAUCUCAGGACCCUGGGAUCAUGACCUAAGCCGAAAGCAGAGGCUUUAACCCACUGAGCCAUCCAGGCGCUCCUAAACCCGCCAGUUUUUAAAGUCACCCUAGCAUAAGGUCCUACUCACCGGACCUGUAAUAAGCCUCCUCAUCUGGCAUCCUUCUAUCCCCCACCUGCUGACCUCCUUGACUCCGCUGUCAACCUUCCUCCUUCUUAUUGUUCCCAGUGCUUAGACGGUUUGCGUCCAGGAUAUGGGAAGGCCAGAUCCAUCUCUUCCUUCAAGUCUCAGCUCAAAUGUUCUCAUUUGAGAGGCUCAUCUCCCCAUGAGAGAACCACUGCUGACGGCCCCUCCUCCACCACUAUGGAUUGAAUGACCCUGCUUUCUUUUCCUUUCUACCACUCAUGUUGAGUCCAGGUUCCCACACAGACUACUGCAAUAGCCUGCUGAUUGCACCAAGCCAAAUUUAUUGCUUUUGUGCCCUAAGAGAUGCUAUCACUUUGAUGGAAUCAUAGAAGCUUCUCAGAAGGAAGAGGUCAAGAGUGGAAUAUUGAUAGGAUUUGGAGGGUCUAGCGUAAGACGGAUCUUUCAAUGGGGAGUCCCGAUUAGAGCUGUGCAAACGUAUGACAUAAUAGUCAAGGACUAACACAGUGAGCUGUGGGCUUUGGAGGGGACCUUGAUGAAUAUGCAGCCCAGUUGGCUUGUUCAGGGAAGGGGGCCACUACCCUGAUCUGCCGUUCUGAUAAAUGGGUUUUCAGCAAGUUCCCAACACAAACAGAGUAACACGGUUUGCAGCUUUGUCUUUUUGGGGCUGGAAUUUUCCAGAACAUUGCAGUCAUGUGAAUGCUGAGUGCCAAAUAGUUUAAUUGCAUUAGCAUGAACAGUAAGCUGUGUGGCUACAAGUUUUCAUUCUCAUUCAUCACUAUACGAAAUUAUUAUGUUUAUCUAUUUACUCUUUUGUUGUCUGUCUCCCCACCACCACUGUAUACACGAAUACAAUUUCAUAUGAAUGUAAGUCUCUAUCCUGUUCAUUUCUGCACCCGCAGAACCUGCAAGUGGCCACCGACCAUAAAAUUUAAAGAAAAAUCAGGACUUUGCCAGGGUUCAGCACCAGAGGCCACAAGGCUGAGCUCUGGCUUGUCUGUUGCUGGCUGAAGUCUAAACCCUCUUCUUCUGUUCCACAGAAGUCUCUACGUGGCACUGUGGGGGUUGCGUUUGGACCAAGGGUGCACCCAUGGCCAAAAGGGCUUCAUUCAUUUAUUUAUUCGCUUGAUCGAUAAGCAUUUCUGGAAUCCCUCCUAGGGGGCUGGCACAGUUCAAGGUGUUGGCGCAUCAAGCUUUGGACGGCUAGCUACUAUCUGCAAAAUGGGGGGGCAGGUUCUGAGAAGCUCUGCUCCUCUCACCCCCCGCAGGCUGGGAAUGACAGUGAGCACUUUUCAGCCAAUAAAAGAUCUGCUAAUGGAUGAUAUUUAAAGAUGGGGAAAUACAGAGUAGUAAGCAUAUAUAGAGAGAGUGAUAUUUAAAAUAAAGUGUUUUAUAUGCACACACACACACACAUACACAUUAUACAUGUAAUGUUAUAGGGGAAAAGCAUAAUAAAAACCGAAUAUUUGGAUGUUUGGUAUAAUCUGACUUUAUAAGGAUAUGACUGACAAUAAAUCACACAUUCAGCUGUACAUGUGGGAUAGACCCAAAUGUUAACGUGUGAGCAUGGGUUAACAAAUCUGGGUGGUAAAAUUAUGACUGGUUUUGAUUUUAUUUGUCAUGUUUCUCUGCAUUUUUAACAGUGAAUGUAUGCUUUUUAAAAAUGGUAUUUGAAAAGGUCACUUUGCUGUUUGAGGGCGGGAAGGGUGGCAGAGUUGCCAAACACAUGAUGCCCAGUUAGGUCUGAAUUUCAGACAAAUGCAUUUUUCUAGUAGAAGGACGAACCCAAUAUGACACGGGACAGAGGAGCGCUAAAAGGCGCUCAUUGUGCUUGUCUGAGAGUCCCAUUUCGCUGGGCGCCCUGUGUUUUCAUUUGUUAAAUCUGGCAACCUGGGGGCAGGGGCAGUUCCUCAGUAUCAUCUUGGGAGCUUGCACAAACUUGGUUCUCUGCUCCUCCCCACGCCCCUAUCCCACGCCCCCUGCUCCCACACAGCCAGAAUCAGAUGUGUCUGCUGACCUGCCUGUCAACAUUCAGAAUUUGAGGUCUUCUCUUGAGGUUGUCCCAGAGCCGGUGGGAAAAAAGCGGUAUGGUGCGGGGCGCUGAAGUCUGACAAAGCCCAGGGGGUGUUUCAGUCACCUCUGUUUGUUCCCUCUGGUAAAAUUUACUGUAUUCCACAUGGUGAGGACACUUUUGGAAGCUGCUGGGCCCUCCCGACCCUGCUCACUGGGCUGUUUUCGUAACUUUCCUGCUCACAAGGGCACUGUUGGGGCGACUCUUCGGGAAAGGGCAAACUGGCUGGCGAUGACGUUCUGGGGGUCCUCUGAAUCCCUGGAUCUCCAACAGGCCCUGGGGUAGGGACAGAAGAAGGUUGCCCCCUCCUGCCUCCAGAGCACAGCUGUCUUGGCAAAGCCACCCAUGAAAGGCCAGGAAGCCGACGGUACUGCUCCAUCCUCUGGGAGAGUCUCGCCUCCGUGGCCAUGGAAAAAUGCCUCUCUGCCAGCAGACAAAUGUGUCCAGAGAGAAGAGCCCUCUCUUGGGAAUGAAGCAUCUAUCUGCGUCCCCGGGCUAGUGGCCAUGCCCCAGCCUGGCGCUUCUGGAGAGCUGUGAGGAAUCCACCGCACUGCCCUUUCGGGAGACCACUGUCAAAGACCUAAAAUAACCCCAUGUGGCAAUACCUCACAAAAUAAUGCUAGAGAUGCAAACAACUAAACAUUAGCCGGGAUUUGUAAACACAGACUUCAAAGGGGUGAUAAUUAAUGAGGUGCAGGGCGAAGAGCAACAGAGAAGAAACAGCAGCCUUUUAAACAAAGCCCCCAAACCCCGCAGGCCUCAGUUUCAUCCCCUGCAAAAUGGAUGGGUUGAAUAAGGUGAAAGAAAAGUGCCUUCUAAUUUUGAUGUUCUGGAACAUUAAUUUGGAGAAUUAAUUAGAGGGUUAAUUUCUGAACCAGGGAAGCAGAAAAAGGACUCAAAUAAACCCAAUGUCAUUUACCGAAGCUUGCAUUACAGAGGGAGUGGAGGGAUUGAUACUCCUCUGGUGUUUCCUUGGUGUCAGUCGUUGUAUGUGAGGACCUCUGUUUUAUAACAGCUCGUGGGAGUCAACAUUAUUUUCUUCACUUAAUAUCCAGGGAAAUGGAGCCACAAGCAGGUUAAGUGACUUUCUUAAGGUCACACAGCUGGCAAGUGCAAAACCAGGAUUUGAACCAAGUCUCUUCUCCUGAACUCGCUGCCUGUCUACCACAUUGUGUAGACCGUCCCUGGUUGUCAGGGUACCUGGACUGGAGCCAAAGUGACCUGAUUCUGAGCUCUUACCAGCACCAGGUGAGGUACAGAGAUGGAGGCAGAGGGAGGUCCAUCCAGAGGGAGCUACUCCUCUGGUUACUGUGAUUAACCAAAAAAUUCUGUAAGUAAGGAAUUGCCUACAAACAAUGGACAGUCACCAGGGACAGACACCAGGAAGUGCUUAUAAGGGCCCCAUUUUCCAAAUUUCUUCUCAUACUUACUGUCUGACCCCUGAAAUAUCUUUAGUAACAUCCAAAGCUUUUUAUUGCGCAUGGAAAGAAUAUAUUUUAAACACUCUGAGUCUUCCCUCCGCAUCCCCUUACUAAGAGAAAAGAAGUAGCCUGGGCAUUUCAGCCACUAAUCAUUUCUCAUGAAUAGGUUUUGACUGGGCAAGUGGGGAGAUAUGUGGGUGGCCCUUUUGCCUGAAUGAAGUCCCUGGGAGAGAAAAAGAGGGAGAGGAAAAGGAGGAGUCAGAAAUUCUUGAUUUCAGAGUAAAUAUUCAAGAAAACUUGAAUGUGAUCAAUUAGAGGAAUUAUUUGGCUACUGUGGGCCCUGAUCUUUGAAGACCACUAAGGGAUAGUCACAAGUAAGAUAUUAAGUAAAAAGAUUAGAAACAACCAAAGGCAAAGAAUUUUGUUGGGUAAGUAUAGAAAACCUCCUCUAUUUGUAUGAGCAGCGGCCAAUUGAAUGGUGUCACCCUCUUCACUUGGGGGAGGCAGAUCAUUUUGAAGUAGAUCAAGGGAAGAACCCUUUUGGCUGUGAAAAUGUAAGACCAGAAGGUCUUCACCAUCUUGAAUACUUUGGGUGGUGUCCUAAGUUGAGUUCCCCAGGGACAGACUCUGAGAUGAGAGCCAUGAGGAAGUGGUUGAUUAGGUAAGUGCUUCCAAAGGAACUGGGUGAGGAUGGGGCAGAAGCUAGACAAGGAAAUGAGGUUUCCCAAGAAAGGAUAUGAAGUAGCUUCACCCUGAUCCCUAGGAGGAAACCUGGAAUAUUAAUUUCAUUUCACCUCCAACCUGAGGCAAGGGGCCUGGUGAAGGGCAUGGCAGGACCUUAGUGAAGGGCAGGUAGGGGAGGAUACUAGAUAUAAAUUCCCAGAUGCUUUUAGCUCUAAGCAAGUGCAGGCCACAUAGUUACACCCUCAGGGCAGUCCUCUGUAGAUCCUCAGGUGCCUUAACCAAACCUCUCCCUCUGGACUAGUCUCUGGAUUAUGAGUGUAUGAACCAGGUGGACCUAGACCUAAACACUUCCCUUUUGAAGAUCUGAUAAACUGAGAUGGGGUCUCAGUUUAUUGGAUCUGAGUGAAGCCUCCUUACAGGAAAGGAAGUUUAAGUGGGAGGAAAUUCACCAUGAAGACAAGGUAGCAUAGGUUUGUAGAUGCCACAAUUAAAUGAUCUACCUUGGCACCGUGGGUUCACUUUGGGACAUUGGCUGAAUGUGUGAGUGGGACAGUUAUAACCUCAGGAGUCCAAAAGUAGCAUACACAUACACAUGCAUAAUACUAAGAUCCUAAAAUCACCCUCAAACAUCUCCUAUAGUCUCAGCUACAAGGUAACAUUAUGGGAGGAGGUGGCAACAUUGGGCUGGGAGAGCCACAUCUUUUCAAAGAUGAUAGUCUAAGAUCAUCAUUGCAGUGAUAUGGGAUAAAAAGGCGAAUUUGUUAGUGGACUGGCCAGAUUUUGCAGUUCAUCUCUGUGGAAUAUCUCAAAGCUCAACUAACUAGACUAAACACUGGUAUCUUGGGCAAUACAGCCAGGAGGUUCCAACAAAAAGACGUACUACUUCCUGCUGCUAUGGACAUACGGUGCCUCAAUAUGUUAAUUUAGGUUUUAAAAACAGACCUGGUGACAUUCUGGUUUUUAGUCCAACAGGUAAAGAGCUUGGAUUUGUCCCUUGUGCCUUUGUGACAAGAAUAAAAGCUGAACCCACUGAAAAUCAACAUCUCUUCUUAGAUCCAGCAGAGAAUUGGGGUCACAGAGGAAAAUGCUCCUCCGAAAACUGGACAGACAGAUGAGUGAGUGAAGAGAAGCAUAGCUUCCAUGGACCAGAAACCCUUCACUGCAGCCAGUAUUGGUAGAAAUAUUCUAAACUAUAACUAGCAAGUUGCUGAGGAUUCGGUGUGGAUUAGCCUGGAAGUCUGAAACUCUGAGAGGGUCCAGUUUGAGGGAGGACUCCCUACCUUUGUGAGUUUUGUCUCUGUGAGUUCUCCCAAGUUCUGAAAGUGAAGAUGUUCUCCCAAGUUCUGAAAGUGAAGAUUGAAGAAAAAUCCCCUCAUGCUUCUGACAGGGGGAGGGGAAAAUAACCAUUCUGAAAUACACCCAGAGCUCACUCUUCCCCUUAACAAGACCUGCCCUCAAGGGAAACUAACUUACAGUGUCUAAUCUACUGUGGUUUUACUGAAGCCUAACCACCCUGGGGAAAGGGAAAAUACCCAACUCAGGUUUACUAAAAACCUAAAAUCUAAUUAUAGGAUGAUAGAAAAAUCCCCCUCCCCCCACACUUAUUACCACAUCAAUCCAGCUCUUUUACCAUAACAGAGGAUUACAGCUACAAGAAUUGCAGGCCUCAGACCCUAUUUAAAGUGUCUAGGAAAACCCAAAACAACAAGGGAGACAAAAACAAGGACACUAGGAGGCAUUUUAGUUUUUAAAACCACAGCUACAGCAAACAAUAAACACUACCUAGCUCUUAGUCAGAUAAACAUAUAACUUCACACUGAAGGCCUAUCUAAUUGAGCUCUUUUCAUGCAAUACAUCAUGUCUGGUUUUCAGCAAAAAAAAAAAAAUGAUAAGGUGAGCUAAAAGAAAAAAAAAAGCAAAAACAAAAACAAAAACCCAUCCCUAAUAGUCAGAAGAAAUAAAAUAAGCAUCAGAACCAGACAUAGACAUGGCAGAGAAUUUAGAAUUAAAAUAACUAUGAUUAAUAUGUUAAGGGCUUUAGUGGGAAAGUGGGCAACAUAAAAGAACAGAUGAGUAAUGUAAACAGAGAUACUGAAACUCUAAGAAGCAAAAGGAAAUGCUGGGAAUCAAAAACUCUGUAAAAUAGAGGAAGAAUGUCUUUGGUGGGCUUAUCAGCAGAUUGGACACAGCCAGGGAAAGAAUCAGGGAAUUUUGAGACACAUCAAUAAAAACUACAAAAACUGAAAUGCAAGGUGAAAAAAAACUAUGGAACCAAGUAUAAGAACUAUGGAGUUUUUGCAAAAUGUAUAACAUGCAUAUAAUGGGAAUAUUAGGAGAAAGGAGGGAGAAAAGGACAGAGCUGUUUGGAUGGUAAUAAUGGCUGAGAACGUUCCAAAUUAAUGGCAGAUACCAAACCACAAAUCCAGAAAGCUCAGAGAACACCAAGCAGGCUAAAUACCAGGAAAAGCUAAACCAAGUAUAUCACAUUUAAACUACAGAAAAUCAAAGAUCAAGAGAAAAUCUUGAAAGAAGCCAGAAAAGAAAGAGCAACUUACCAACAGAGGAAUAAGGAUAGGAAGUACAUCAGACUUCUCUCCAGAAACCAUACAAGUAAGAAAAGAUUAGAGUGAAAUACUUUAAUUGUUGAAAAACAAAAACAAACACAAAACCAUCAGCCUAGAAAUUAUCAGUGAAAUUAUUCUUCAAAGGUGAAGGACAAAUAAAGACUUCCUCAGAGAAAAAUUGAGGAAAUAUGUUGCCUUGCAAGAAAUGUUAAAAUUCUUCAGACAGAAGGAAAAUAAUCUAUGUGAGAAAAAUCAGACCUACCUGAAGAAAGGAGCAUGAGAAAAGGAAUAAAUAACUGUAAAAUGAAA